rnacentral:rRNA from 1 species
UACGUAGGGGGCAAGCGUUAUCCGGAAUCAUUGGGCGUAAAGCGCGUGUAGGCGGUUCCGUAAGUCCGCUCUGAAAGCCCAGGGCUCAACCCUGGGAGGCGGGUGGAUACUACGGAACUGGAGUACGGAAGAGGAGAUUGGAAUUCCUGGUGUAGCGGUGAAAUGCGCAGAUAUCAGGAGGAACACCAACAGCGAAGGCAGAUCUCUGGGCCUGUACUGACGCUGAGGAACGAAAGCGUGGGGAGCGAACAGG